rnacentral:rRNA from 1 species
AUUGAACGCUGGCGGCAGGCCUAACACAUGCAAGUCGAACGAGUGGCGGACGGGUGAGUAAUGUCUGGGAAACUGCCUGAUGGAGGGGGAUAACUACUGGAAACGGUAGCAAAUACCGCAAACCAUCGGAUGUGCUCAGAUGGGAUUAGCUAGUAGGUGGGGUAAAGGCUAACCAAGGCGACGAUCCCUAGCUGGUCUGAGAGGAUGACCAGCAACACGGGAACUGAGACACGGGCCAGACUCCUACGGGAGGCAGCAGUGGGGAAUAUUGCGCAAUGGGCGCAAGCCUGAUGCAGCCAUGCCGCGUGUAUGAAGAAGGCCUUCGGAUUGUAAAGUACUGUCAUCAGGGAAGCGGUACCCGCACAGGAAGCACCGGCUAACUCCGUGCCAGCAGCCGCGGUAAUAC